AUGCUCACUUUGGCAGCACAUAUACUAAAACUGGAACAAUACAGAGAAGAUUAGCAUGGCCCCUGUGCAAGGAUGACACACAAAUUCAUGAAGCAUUCCACAUUUUU
rnacentral:snRNA from 1 species